rnacentral:tRNA from 1 species
GCCCGCGUGGUGGAAUGGUAGACACCGGAGACUUAAAAUCUCCUGCCCCAUGGGCGUGCCGGUUCGAGUCCGGCCGCGGGCACCA